rnacentral:rRNA from 1 species
CCCUCAAGAUGAGAUUUCCCAACUUCGGUUAUAAGAUCCCUCAAAGAUGAUGAGGUUAAUAGGUUCGGGGUGGAAGCAUAGCGAUAUGUGGAGCUGACGAAUACUAAUCGAUCGAAGACUUAAUCAAAUUUCAAGUUUUGA